UGGGGAAUAUUGCACAAUGGGCGCAAGCCUGAUGCAGCCAUGCCGCGUGUGUGAAGAAGGCCUUCGGGUUGUAAAGCACUUUCAGCGAGGAGGAAGGUGGUGAACUUAAUACGUUCAUCAAUUGACGUUACUCGCAGAAGAAGCACCGGCUAACUCCGUGCCAGCAGCCGCGGUAAUACGGAGGGUGCAAGCGUUAAUCGGAAUUACUGGGCGUAAAGCGCACGCAGGCGGUUUGUUAAGUCAGAUGUGAAAUCCCCGGGCUCAACCUGGGAACUGCAUUUGAAACUGGCAAGCUAGAGUCUCGUAGAGGGGGGUAGAAUUCCAGGUGUAGCGGUGAAAUGCGUAGAGAUCUGGAGGAAACUG
rnacentral:rRNA from 1 species